ACAGAACAGCACCAGGGGCUGGUCCAACGCUCCCUGUGCAUCUUUUAUUUAGGAAUCCAUCCUUCAGCCCACCCACAUCAGCACAGCAAGAGCUGGAACUGCAGCACGUGUGGAACAUCCUGUGCUGGUUGUGCUGCAUUGGUCUGGGGAUUAAACACCUCUGGAGAGGCAAAGGAGCUCCAGUUCUAAAUGAAACCUCAGAUAUCGUGGGAGCUGGAAACCCGAAACCCCAGAGUUUGUACCAAGAACCUGCUGGAUUGAGCAGUGGGGCUCUGAAUAUCCUCAUUCAUCUCCAGAAUCACCAUCAGCUGCCUCUGUGACUGCAGAGCCCCAGAAUUAUGGAAGUUUGCACAAACAGCCCCUCACACUGGGAAUUAAACCCCUUUUUCCUUGGUUUUGAGCACUCAUGGACGGAACUUCCAUCGUGUUUCACAGAUAACAAAAUCGCAUGUAAGGUUUGGUUCACAAA
rnacentral:lncRNA from 1 species